rnacentral:rRNA from 1 species
UUGGAGGGCAAGUCUGGUGCCAGCAGCCGCGGUAAUUCCAGCUCCAAUAGCGUAUAUUAAAGUUGUUGCAGUUAAAAAGCUCGUAGUUGAAUUUCGGGGUCAGCAGGUCGGUCGUGCCACUGGUAUGCACUGGCCUUGGUGAUUCCUCCUUCUUGAAGAACCGUGAUGCCAUUCAUUUGGUGUUACGGGGACACAGGACUGUUACUUUGAAAAAAUUAGAGUGUUUAAAGCAGGCACACGCCUGAAUACAUUAGCAUGGAAUAAUGGAAUAGGACGAUCGAUCCUAUUUUGUUGGUUUCUAGGGUUGACGUAAUGAUUAAUAGGGAUAGUUGGGGGCAUUAGUAUUCAAUUGUCAGAGGUGAAAUUCUUGGAUUUAUUGAAGACUAACUACUGCGAAAGCAUUUGCCAAGGAUGUUUUCAUUAAUCAAGAACGAAAGUUAGGGGAUCGAAGACGAUCAGAUACCGUCGUAGUCUUAACCAUAAACUAUGCCGACUAGGGAUCGGAUGAUGUUAAUUUUUUAAUGACUCAUUCGGCGCCUUACGGGAAAC